UGCAGUGACGAUAAUGUCUCGCGUACAAAUAGCAUGAAGUAUUAACACAUAUAUCCACGUUCUUCUGUCAAUAAAAGGGACUAAAGUAAAAAAAGGACCUUCACUUACAGUCGGGGCGCGUACUCUUGCAAACUUUUCCUCUUACUGGUUCUGUUUUCUUUUUACUCUGUGGCAAGAACCUAAUGAGUGCAUGUGUGUGUUACUCCAGUGGAUUUUAAUGUGCAUGUGAACGAUAUAGGUUUGAGAAUUGUCCACGUCGCGGCUGAAAUGGAUAUGCCAUUGGCGUGCAAGCGUCGUCGAUGUCGGAUGAUAUCCGACAACUACACACUGUUUCGGAAUUAGUGCAUAUUAGUGAGUGUUGAUGGUGCGCUGUCCAGCAAAAUCACAGUGAAAGAGAGUCGCGUCGGGUUUACUUAGUGAUUGGCGGAAUAAGCAGGGCAGUGGCGUGCUGCAGGGAUGGGGAUGGGGGGCAGCUGACGGUAGAGGAUAGCGGCAGGCGUCAG